UUCCUGACUCUAGGUCUGACUCUAUCCCCUGCCGCUGGAGCUAUGGGGGGAGCCGCCUAGACCACAUACGCAGUCAGGGAAACCCGUGUGAUGACAGCAGUUAUAAAGCGCCUUCAACUUUUCCAAGUUUACAAAUGUUACUUGUUUUUCACAACCGUGUGAGGGAGGUGCCGGGCUACUUCUGUUUCACUGCGGAGGAACGGUGACUCGCCCAGGAUGGCAAAGCUAGACAUGCUCAAUGACUUUUUUGCAUUUAUAUACCUUGCAUAUGUUGGUUUCUAUUCAAUAAUUUACCCACCAGCCACCUUGGAGAAAUUAUACUGGCAAGUAGUUGGACUCAUACUUUCUGUUGCCUUCUUGUCUAUACUAGAUGUUAUUUUACAAGGCCGGCAUUUUUUGGAUUGGAGGACAAAAACUGGAAUAAAGUACAAAAGUGACUCUGCAACCAGAUCGAAGUCUCUGGACACUUAAAAUCUCAUAAAAAGCACAAAUAUGUAUCAUUUUUCUUUUUACUAGGAUGAUUUUCUUUUCCACUAAAAUUCCCAUUUUGACAUUUUCAUGGCAAAGCGCUUUCCCAAAAAAUAAAGAAUGUAUAAAAGUCUUUCCCAGAGGAAUACCAAUUUUAGCCUUACCAAAUACAGUUCUCUUCUAAUACCUCACCUUGGCAUAGACAGGAAUAGUCCUGGGUUCUCUGAGGCCAAAACAGCAGAAUUCAUUUUAAGUGCUUUAUAAAUGAUUCUUGUCUACCUGCCUGCAGGCUCUACCAGAUUGAGGCAGUCUUGAAUUUGGGCCUGGUAAUACCACAUCUGUCAUCAAGACACAAGACCUGCUGUUCAGAAGUACGUAACACUAUGAUAGCUUCAGGAUAACAGAAAUUUGGUUCACAGUAAUUCACUGGAACAUUUGCCGAGUCAAAAAUUGUGACCUGUAUUAGGGGAUGGGAGGCCUAAACUCAAGGGAUCAGAUCCUUGAAGAACUGAAAUAUCAAAUAAAAAAAUUCAGCUG
rnacentral:lncRNA from 1 species